rnacentral:rRNA from 1 species
CUGGCUCAGGACGAACGCUGGCGGCGUGCCUAACACAUGCAAGUCGAACGGACUUAGCUGGAUGCUUGCAUCCGGCGACAGUUAGUGGCGGACGGGUGAGUAACGCGUGAAUAACCUGCCCAACAGAGGGGGAUAACGUUUGGAAACGAACGCUAAUACCGCAUAACAUUAUGGCAUCGCAUGGUGCUAUAAUCAAAGGAGCAAUCCGCUGAUGGAUGGAUUCGCGUCCGAUUAGCUAGUUGGUGAGAUAACAGCUCACCAAGGCGACGAUCGGUAGCCGGACUGAGAGGUUGAACGGCCACAUUGGGACUGAGACACGGCCCAGACUCCUACGGGAGGCAGCAGUGGGGGAUAUUGCACAAUGGGGGAAACCCUGAUGCAGCAACGCCGCGUGAGGGAAGAAGGUUUUCGGAUUGUAAACCUCUGUCCUAGGUGAAGAUAAUGACGGUAGCCUAGGAGGAAGCUCCGGCUAACUACGUGCCAGCAGCGGC